AUUGAACGCUGGCGGCAUGCCUUACACAUGCAAGUCGAACGGUAACAGGUCUUCGGAUGCUGACGAGUGGCGAACGGGUGAGUAAUACAUCGGAACGUGCCCGAUCGUGGGGGAUAACGAGGCGAAAGCUUUGCUAAUACCGCAUACGAUCUACGGAUGAAAGCGGGGGAUCUUCGGACCUCGCGCGGACGGAGCGGCCGAUGGCAGAUGAGGUAGUUGGUGGGAUAAAAGCUUACCAAGCCGACGAUCUGUAGCUGGUCUGAGAGGAUGAUCAGCCACACUGGGACUGAGACACGGCCCCGACUCCUACGGGAGGCAGCAGUGGGGAAUUUUGGACAAUGGGCGAAAGCCUGAUCCAGCCAUGCCGCGUGCAGGAUGAAGGCCUUCGGGUUGUAAACUGCUUUUGUACGGAACGAAAAGUCUCUUUCUAAUAAAGAGGGGUCAUGACGGUACCGUAAGAAUAAGCACCGGCUAACUACGUG
rnacentral:rRNA from 1 species